rnacentral:rRNA from 1 species
CCUCCCCCUCCCCCUGACAGCCCCSCCCGUGGUUUUAGGUCUCCGGAUUGUAAGCACUUUGUUUGGGAGGAAGGGUUGAGAUAAUACUCUGCAUUUUGACGUUWCCUACCAAUAAGCCCCGGCUAACUUUGUGCCUGCAGCCUCGGUAUACAGAGGGUGCGAGCGUUAAUCGGAAUUUCUGGGUGAAAAGGGCGCGUAGGUGGUUCGUUAAAUUGGAUGUGAAAUCCCCGGGCUCUCCCUGGGAACUG